GCUCUCUCUUCAGGGAUGACAUCAUCGGCUCACACCAGUCUUCCAGGACCACCUUCUGGAUGCCAAGGCUGCUGCUCCUGUACCUGCUGUGCACCUCUACCUCCUGAGCCAAGGAGCAUGGAUUCCAGGAACCCACUACCAUACAGAGCAACUCCUUGUGGACCCCCCUGGGAUCAGGACAGCGAGGGACAAGCGACAAAGAGGAUCAUCAGUGGCCAGCUAGUCUCUCUGGGGUUCAAACCUUGAACCAGUGCCCUAGUGAGGGGGCACUGGCCAUGGCCCUUGACCUUUGCUCUGCUUGUGUCUUGAGUCUGAGUCCUUUCCUGUACAUCUGUGCUUGUGUUCAUCUGCUAGUGAACUGGAGUGCUGCCCUCCCCGAGGAGGGUCGUCCCUUGUGACUGAUCAUGCUGUCCUAACAAUGUCCUGAGCAAAAGGGUCCCUUUGGGAACCUCUCAGGAGGGGGACCCGGGUCAGGGGCGACCAGCAUCUUGCUGGCAACUCCGUGGGUGGGGUGGGGUGGGGUGCUUCCUUCUGGAAUGAGCACGUGGCUGACCCCCAAAGGCAUGUCCCCUCCCCCUCCUCCACCCACCUUCUCGGAGAUGUCCCUUUUGGGGUAGUGGGGACAUUAGGAGCAACCUCCUAGGGUUGUUGUGAGAAUUAAAUGAACUGCAGCAGCCUGAGGCAGGGCUGGGCAGAGACCUCAGCACAUGUUUGUUGAAAGGUUUGCAGGUGGAUCUAGUCCUCCCGUUCAUGGCUCAUGUGUCUCAACCAUUCUCUCGCAGAUUCCUGCAGCCCCUAUGCCCAGGGCUCUCCUUGCGCCAGCCCCGGCUUCUAGAGGCCUGUCUACACUCGCUGCUUUCCUUCCUCACCUCCAAUUUCCCCUCCAACCCACUGCUUCCUGACUCGCUCUUCUCCAUCGAACGGCUCUCGCUCAGCCUCCCUCUGUUUGUCUCCCUCCCUCUCCCAAUUGGAUCUGGCCCCUGUUGGGGUGCCCCUAGGCCACCCCUUCCUCUUCUGGGUGUCCCAGCACCAACCCGGUUUAAGGCUUGGCUUGCUGGCCCUGGAGAUCCCGUCGCCGUCUUCGUCGAACUCGAACUCCUAGCCAUCGUCCUUCCCUGGCCUGUCGCGUCUUCCUGUGCCAUUUGCUGUUGUGCUCAGGUUCCACGAGCUGCCCAUCUCCACAGAAGAGCAGCUGGCAUUGCCCACCGGCCAUGCCGGCUGAAGAAAAGAAGACUGAGGACCCCAGGACGCCCAGCACGAGGACCCCAGGAAGCUCAGCGCGAGGACUCCACCCAUGACGCCCAGCGCGAGGACUUCACGCACAACACGUUGCAACCCUCCUGGAUUAGGCCUCCACAGCCACGGGGACGCCUUGCACAUUUCCUGUGGGACAUGCUGGACCCAAGACUCUGGACCCUGGCCUCCCCUUGAGUAGAGAGACCCACCUACUGACUGAUGAACUGCACUGACCCUGGGGUCAGGCAUGUGGCCUUGAUCCCUACCCAUGGACCCUGAGACUUGGGGGGGUGGAAGAAAGGCUGUUGAGUCUUCACUGUUGAUUCUACAUCUGUGAAAUGGGCUCAGGUUCCUACCUCACAGGGCUGUUGUGAGGCAGCCGCGAUGUGCUUAGAAGCAUGGGGCCUGGUGGCUCAUGGUGCUUUCAAUAAAUUUCUUGUUUUAACUAAAGCA
ensembl:lncRNA